rnacentral:misc_RNA from 1 species
CUGAGAUUUUCUCCCUUGUUUGGUCACGCUUUGUUCCCUGCGAUCAGACCACAGUAACUUUCAGUAAUUCUCUCUCAAUCUAAUCCGGCGAAGAUGAUACCGCCGGAGCUCCAAGCCCGACCGUUUCGACCUUACAUAGCAUCCUCCGUAAGCGCCCCUUCUUUCUCCUCGCUCGAUAAUGGCCGCCCUUACUCCCCUGACCCA